UGGCCCAGAUCGUUUACCGUGAAAAAAUUAGAGUGUUCAAAGCAGGCAGAUCCAAUUUUCUGCCACCGAAUACAUUAGCAUGGGAUAAUGGAAUAGGACCCUGUCCUCCUAUUUUCAGUUGGUUUUGGCAGCGCGAGGACUAGGGUAAUGAUUAAUAGGGAUAGUUGGGGGCAUUAAUAUUUAAUUGUCAGAGGUGAAAUUCUUGGAUUUAUGAAAGAUUAACUUCUGCGAAAGCAUCUGCCAAGGAUGUUUUCAUUAAUCAAGAACGAAAGUUAGGGGAUCGAAGACGAUCAGAUACCGUCGUAGUCUUAACCAUAAACGAUGCCGACCAGCGAUUAGGAGACGUUGAAUMCAAAACACCACCAUCGGYUGCGGUCAUCCUUGGCGUCUCGGUUCSSCCGSGGCGCGUGGAUGACUMCCCMUYGUACCCUUCG
rnacentral:rRNA from 1 species